CUCUUGGGAAGAUGAAGCUGUUUUUUCUUGUUACUCCCUUGCCUAGGAUUUACAAAGAUCUUAUUUUUCCUAAACUGAAGCUGCCCUGGUAAGUACUACAAACCACACCCAGGCGUGUGGCUGAAAGCAUACUCAGUUUUGGAAGGCAGACCCCAGUAUUCUGGCUUAAGGCAACUAUUGGAAAGGCUGUUCCAUUUAAGAGGCAAGGAAACAGGCACUUCAGUAGGACUUCCAGAGCCAAGAUGGUGAAAUGAGAAAGAAAAUCACUGAGCUCACCCAAAUUCACCUCCAAACAACUACUAAAAAAUGCUUCAAAAUGAAUUCUGGAGCUGCAGAACCAACAAAAAUAUGAGGUGAAUAAUUCUUUCACCCAACAUAAUGUCAGCAGGAAAGAUCCAUUUCACUGAAAUAAGAGGAAGACUGUGUGAUUCAAUAUGGGCCCACAAGGUAGCCAGGCCAUUCUCACAUACCACAGCAAGCCCCAGCACAAGAAGCUUGAGAUGGUGGCUCUUAUACUUCAGGAGAAGACUAGAAAAAUUAGCAAAAGACAAAAAUAUCUGACCAUGGAAAACAACUUUGGUGACAGGGAAGAUCAAAACACAGACCCAGAAGAGGACAACAAUGGCAAAGUAGAUACAUGUGAGGCCUCAGUGGAAAAUGUGAAAUAAUGGCAGGUCCAAAAACAAUGCAUGGAAAAUCUCAAAAGUGAUUUAAAAAAAAUCAAAUGGGAGGAGUAGAAAAAUUGGGAAAAUAAAUAAAAGUGAUGCAAAAGAA